CAGCCGCCGCGGGAAUACGUAGGUCCCGAGCGUUGUCCGGAUUUAUUGGGCGUAAAGCGAGCGCAGGCGGUUAGAUAAGUCUGAAGUUAAAGGCUGUGGCUUAACCAUAGUACGCUUUGGAAACUGUUUAACUUGAGUGCAAGAGGGGAGAGUGGAAUUCCAUGUGUAGCGGUGAAAUGCGUAGAUAUACGGAGGGACACCGGUGGCGAAAGCGGCUCUCUGGCUUGUAACUGACGCUGAGGCUCGAAAGCGUGGGGAGCGAACAGGAUUAGAUACCCCAGUAGUCCCUGUCUCUUAUACA
rnacentral:rRNA from 1 species